rnacentral:rRNA from 1 species
GACAGGUGGUGCAUGGCUGUCGUCAGCUCGUGUCGUGAGAUGUUGGGUUAAGUCCCGCAACGAGCGCAACCCACGUUUUUAGUUGCCAGCAUUUAGUUGGGCACUCUAGAAAGACCGCCGGUGAUAAACCGGAGGAAGGUGUGGAUGACGUCAAGUCAUCAUGCCCCUUACACCCUGGGCUACACACGUACUACAAUGCUACGGACAAAGGGCAGCAAACUCGCGAGAGCUAGCAAAUCCCAUAAACCGUGGCUCAGUUCAGAUCGUAGGCUGCAACUCGCCUACGUGAAGUAGGAAUCGCUAGUAAUCGCAGGUCAGCAUACUGCGGUGAAUACGUUCCCGGG